rnacentral:rRNA from 1 species
AUACGAAGGGUGCGAGCGUUGUUCGGAAUUAUUGGGCGUAAAGGGUUCGUAGGCGGGAUUGUAAGUCAAGUGUGAAAUCCCCGAGCUUAACUCGGGACGUGCAUUUGAAACUGUGAUUCUUGAGUCAUACAGAGGGUGGUGGAAUUGUUGGUGUAGGAGUGACAUCCGUAGAGAUCAACAGGAACAUCAGAGGCGAAAGCGGCCACCUGGGUAUGUACUGACGCUGAGGAACGAAAGCGUGGGGAGCAAACAGGAUUAGAUACCCUGGUAGUCCACGCUGUAAACGAUGAUAACUAGGUGUUGGGGGAGUUGACCCCCUCAGUACCGUAGCUCACGCGCUAAGUUAUCCGCCUGGGGAGUACGGCCGCAAGGCUAAA